GACAACAGCCACCGGACACUGGCGCAGGUCUUGGCCCGGUCAAAGUCGUACUGGUCCAGCGGUUUGAUCUCCGGCACCGAGGAGCUCCUCGUCGAGCUGGGGGAGUCGACCAUGACCGCGCUGUGGCGCACGGAGAGCGCGGAGGCAGCGGCAGCAGCACCGGGGAAAUGUGACGAGGAGGAGGAAGAGAAGGAGGGGGAGGAGGGAUGGAGGGGGCGGGACCCUGUGACGCAGAGCCGGGCAUAAAAUUUUAAUGAUGACAUCGGUGAAAGGAAUUAGAAUCAGAGUUAGACCAUGUAAAAUAUAUAUGAAAAUAUAAACAGAUAUAAAUGACAUGAAGUCAAAGUCAACAGUCAUAACAUUUAGGACAAACAAAAAUCAUGUGAAACUGUGAUCUUUUAAAUCCAAAGCAGUUCUUUACAUUUUUAUAAGUAAAUGUACUUACCCAGUAGAUGGCAGUAAUGCAACUAAAAUGUGUGGCCUGUGAUACAGAAGUCAGGUGAGGGAUCAAAUCUCAGAACCUUAACGUUUUUCAGUUGGUGCAGCGAACUCUGUUUCUGUUUUAAUAAAAAAAAUAAAAAAUUUUUUAACUGUACUCCUGUCUGAACUUCACACCAACUGAACUCUUUACUUACUUUACUCUGAUUUUAUGUCACAACUGUGAAAUCUGGCUUUUACCACAAGAUGGUAGCAUCGAGUAAGAUCCUAAAUACUCAGCCAUUGAUACUCUGUUAAGUUGGAAAUAUUUAGGGUGAAGAACAGAAAGUUAAAAAAAUAAAAUAAAAUAAAAAUCUGUUUUUAAAACCAUAAAAAAUUUCUCGUCAUGUCCGGAGAAUAUUUACAUUAAAAAAAAAAAAAGAAAAACCAGGAGGAUCAGAUGAUGUCAUCAGUGAAACUCGGAGAAUGUGACCGAACUGGUUCGUCAGAUUAAGCAGUCCAUGAUGAACCGGAGCAGAACCUGCUGCUGUCAGUGUCUCCUCAGAGCAGAGCAGAGGAGGAGGUGAACUGUUGUUGAAGUGAACGGAGGAGAGAGAGUUUUCAACAACUGUGACUGUGACUGUGGACAGGACUGAAGGAGGGAGGACGAUGGGCGGAGCUCCUUCCAAAAAGAGCUUUUUCUUGAAAAAAAAGAAGAAGACACCACUGAAAAGAGCCUGGAGUGACCUGAAGGGGGCGCUAUCCAACAAGAAACGCAAGAAGGGAACCGUUUUGGAUAAAAUGAACUUGAACAACCUGAAAAAGGGGAAGGGUCCCCACAGGAGGGGGUCACUGUCAGGAGCCAAGAAAAGGUUUUCUUUUGAUAACAUGAAGAAGAAACUGAUCCGCUCUGAUUCGCCAGGAAGGAAGGAGAAAGAGGAGAAGGGAACGAAGGAGAAGGAGUGGAGGGGAACGAAGAUAAACAGAUAAAAGAGGAAAAGAUUUUCUCCAAAU